rnacentral:rRNA from 1 species
UGGGGAAUAUUGGACAAUGGGCGAAAGCCUGAUCCAGCCAUGCCGCGUGUGUGAAGAAGGUCUUCGGAUUGUAAAGCACUUUAAGUUGAGAGGAAGGGCAGUUACCUAAUACGUGAUUGUUUUGACGUUACCGACAGAAUAAGCACCGGCUAACUCUGUGCCAGCAGCCGCGGUAAUACAGAGGGUGCAAGCGUUAAUCGGAAUUACUGGGCGUAAAGCGCGCGUAGGUGGUUUGUUAAGUUGGAUGUGAAAUCCCCGGGCUCAACCUGGGAACUGCAUUCAAAACUGACUGACUAGAGUAUGGUAGAGGGUGGUGGAAUUUCCUGUGUAGCGGUGAAAUGCGUAGAUAUAGGAAGGAACACCAGUGGCGAAGGCGACCACCUGGACUAAUACUGACACUGAGGUGCGAAAGCGUGGGGAGCAAACA